rnacentral:misc_RNA from 1 species
GAUGAAGAACGUAGCGAAAUGCGAUAAGUAAUGCGAAUUGCAGAAUUCCAGUGAGUCAUCGAAUCUUUGAACGCACAUUGCGCCCUUUGGUAUUCCGAAGGGCAUGCCUGUUCGAGCGUCAUUAUCACCCCUCAAGCCCCCGGCUUGGUGUUGGACGGUUUGGUGGAGGCCCCCUCGGGGGCUCCUGCCCCUCCCAAAGACAAUGACGGCGGCCUCGUUGGACCCCCGGUACACUGAGUUCUUCACGGGACACGUAUCGGACACAUGGGUUUACGGGACACGGUCUGCCUCCCCUCAGGGAGAAUCUUUCUAAGGUUGACCUCGGAUCAGGUAGGGAUACCCGCUGAACUUAAGCAUAUCAAUAAGCGGAGGA